CUCAAAUGGAACACCAGGGACAACCGGAGGCAUGGGGUGGGAGUUGCUUGGCGGGGGUUUGGAGGGCCGGGGUCACGAGGGGGAGUUAAUGCUGUUUAUCAGGAUCACAGGGAGGCUUUGGGAGACUGGGAUGCAGUCAAUUUAACACAUGGGGACACACACUGAAGAACCUGGAAGUUCUGGUUUCCCUUAUGCCCUCUGUAGGUCUUCUCUGCUCUGCCUGUAUUAACACUGGUUGGGCCUGGAACUGAGACGGCUCGCACAGGGUAACAAGACAUUUUUGGAACACAGCGGUCCACAGAUGCUCCCCAAAGAGCCGGAUAAGCUCCUCUAUCACAGAAGACAUAAGCACCCACUUCAUUCUUCCUGUACUUGGAGAGGAGAAUGCAAAUGAGCGGGCUGUUCUCUGUAAAUAAACAAGAGCUGAAUAAGGCCUCCCAAUUCAGCAAUUCAUUCAGGAAACUCACCUCAGCUGCCUAAUGAGCUGGCUAAUUUGUCUCAGAUUCAGUUUUACGAGAUGCAGCCGUGUUUGUGUUUAUAUGAUAGCGCUUGUUUGGAUAGGGAAGGGGGGGUGGGUAGAGUGUUGAGAAGGCUGAUCAUCAUUCUACACACCAGCUGGAAACCAGUAGGAGCUGGACAAUCCUCUCUUCUCCUCAUCCUCCCUCUCAGCACAGUUGCCCAACUGCGGGCCGUAUAUCCGCCAGCUCUCUGCCGAUGUGGAAGGCAGUCAUUACGGGAACAAGUGAUUUCUCUUUCAGCCCGGUUCAUGGGUCAAUUGCUCUCUCCCUUUCUAUUUCAUGGCAGAGUUGGUGGGAUUGAAGCUCUCCUCUAACCUGAGCUCCUCAUUCCCACGCAUUCUUUGGGGCUAUUGAAUCCUCCAGAGCCUCACAGUUUGCACUUGUGCUUUUGCAGCAUUGUGUUUUACUUUAUUGAUCCUAACGAGGCGCCGAUUUGUGUCAUCCGAACAGUCCGGGUCCCCUGUUUGCCCAGAUUUAUGUGCCCUGCCUUCGGUGAAAAUCCCUUCCCAGUAAAAACUUUAACACCCCUUGCUGUCCUCUUAUUGAAUAACUGUCAGCUGUCUUUUGAUGACAGAGUUUCGGGCUUUACUCCUGUCUGCUGCCGCAGAGGUCUCAUCACACAAAGCCUCAAUAAAGGCAAAUACAUAACUGGCCACGAGAAAGCAUGACCCCAUCUAUUUUUUGGUGUAUAUGUAGUCAAUAUGACAAAGCAUAAUAUUUAUUUAAUGAGGGCUGGGGCAGUCCAGCAUCCAGGGCUUUUACAUUUUUACAGCCAGUAUCUUUCAAACAACAGAUGGUUUACUCAAUUUUUAUAUGGAGAAUUUUAUGGUGUUUCUGCUCUAUUUGAUUUGAAACUACAGGAACAGAAACAAAAACAGGAGAUAAAAAUGAUCUAAGCGAUACACUUGAUGUAAAUGAAACAACGGUGGUGCUUUUUAGAAACCCAUCAAUGUUAAUAUUUGGGGCUUUUCUGUUUUUUCUGCACCAUAAAACGCAAUAAAAGUACAAAUAUUUA